GCAGGCGCGUAAAUUACCCAAUCCUAACACAGGGAGGUAGUGACAAUACAUAACAAUGCUGGGCCUAUACAGGUCUGGCAAUUGGAAUGAGAACAAUUUAAAUCCCUUAUCAAGGAUCAACGGGAGGGCAAGUCUGGUGCCAGCAGCCGCGGUAAUUCCAGCUCCCGUAGUGUAUACUAGAUUUGUUGCGAUUAGAAAGCUCGUAGUUGGAUAUCUGGUGAGAGCAAUCAGUCUGAUACUUUGUAUCAGAACUUGUAUUGUCUCUGACCAUCCUUGGGGGGAGCCUGUCUGGCAUUAGGUUGUCGGACAGGGGACCACCAUCUUUUACUGUGAAGAAAUUAGAGUGUUCAAAGCAGGCUUAUGCCAUUGAAUAUAUUAGCAUGGAAUAAUUAAAUAGGGCCUUGGAACUAUUUUGUUGGUUUGUGCGCCAUGGUAAUGAUUAAUAGGGACAGUUGUGGGUAUUUGUAUUACAAUGUCAGAGGUGAAAUUCUUGGAUUUUUGUAAGACAAACUACUGCGAAAGCAUUUACCAAGGAUGUUUUCAUUAAUCAAGAACGAAAGUUAAGGGAUCGAAGAUGAUUAGAUACCAUCGUAGUCUUAACCAUAAACUAUGCCAACUAGGGAUUGGCAGGAGUUAAUAUGACCCUGUCAGCACCUUAUGAGAAAUCAAAGUCUUUGGGUUCCGGGGGGAGUAUGGUC
rnacentral:rRNA from 1 species